rnacentral:rRNA from 1 species
AGACGGAGGAGGCAAGCGUUGUUCGGAAUUAUGGGGCUUAAAGCGGGCGUAGGCGGCCCGGCAAGUGUCUCGUGAAAUCCCUCGGCUCAACCGAGGAACUGCGGGGCAAACUGCAGGACUUGAGUCCGGGAGAGGAGAGUGGAAUUCCCAGUGUAGCGGUGAAAUGCGUAGAUAUUGGGAGGAACACCGGUGGCGAAGGCGGCUCUCUGGACCGGUACUGACGCUGAGGCGCGAAAGCUAGGGGAGCAAACGGGAUUAGAAACCCCAGUAGUCC